GACGAACGCUGGCGGCGUGCUUAACACAUGCAAGUCGAACGGAAAGGCCCUGCUUUUGUGGGGUGCUCGAGUGGCGAACGGGUGAGUAACACGUGAGUAACCUGCCCUUGACUUUGGGAUAACUUCAGGAAACUGGGGCUAAUACCGGAUAGGAGCUCCUGCUGCACGGUGGGGGUUGGUAAGUUUCGGCGGUUGGGGAUGGACUCGCGGCUUAUCAGCUUGUUGGUGGGGUAGUGGCUUACCAAGGCUUUGACGGGUAGCCGGCCUGAGAGGGUGACCGGCCACAUUGGGACUGAGAUACGGCCCAGACGCCUACGUGAGGCAGCAGUGGGGAAUAUGGCACAAUGGGCGGAAGCCUGAUGCAGCAACGCCGCGUGCGGGAUGACGGCCUUCGGGUUGUAAACCGCUUUCGCCUGUGACGAAGCGGGAGUGACGGUAAUGGGUAAAGAAGCACCGGCUAACUACGUG
rnacentral:rRNA from 1 species